AGGAUGCCUGAUUUUCUCAAGGUAGGAGGAUGGGGGAGGGGUGGAAUGCGGCUCCUGGAAGCUUCCAUGGCAGUUGGUAAAGGCACCAGUUGGACUGAUGGCAGAGACUCCAGCAGGACCUACUGAACAGAAGGGACCAGGAGGGAGCUGAGCUUGUGAAGGGGCCGCCAACCACAGCUCCUUCGCGUAGUUUCUUGCCUGGCAUUGCAGCAAGCCUGGCUGCAUUUCUCCUUGAACAAAGUCCAGAAGUUUCCAGCAAAAGAAACAGAAAUCUGCAAGUGAAACUUGGAUUAACUUCACCUGCUCAG